rnacentral:rRNA from 1 species
ACUCCUACGGGAGGCAGCAGUGGGGAAUAUUGGACAAUGGGGGCAACCCUGAUCCAGCCAUGCCGCGUGUGUGAAGAAGGCCUUCGGGUUGUAAAGCACUUUCAGUAGGGAGGAAAGGUUGUACGUUAAUACCGUGCAGCUGUGACGUUACCUACAGAAGAAGCACCGGCUAACUCCGUGCCAGCAGCCGCGGUAAUACGAAGGGUGCGAGCGUUAAUCGGAAUUACUGGGCGUAAAGCGCAUGCAGGCGGCCUGUUAAGUCAGAUGUGAAAGCCCGGGGCUUAACCUCGGAAUUGCAUUUGAAACUGGCAGGCUAGAGUCUUGUAGAGGGGGGUAGAAUUUCAGGUGUAGCGGUGAAAUGCGUAGAGAUCUGAAGGAAUACCAGUGGCGAAGGCGGCCCCCUGGACAAAGACUGACGCUCAGAUGCGAAAGCGUGGGGAGCAAACAGGAUUAGAUGACCCUGGUAGCGACUGCAUG